rnacentral:rRNA from 1 species
AUUGAACGCUGGCGGCAGGCCUAACACAUGCAAGUCGAACGAGUGGCGGACGGGUGAGUAAUGUCUGGGAAACUGCCUGAUGGAGGGGGAUAACUACUGGAAACGGUAGCUAAUACCGCAUACCAUCAGAUGUGCCCAGAUGGGAUUAGCUUGUUGGUGGGGUAACGGCUCACCAAGGCGACGAUCCCUAGCUGGUCUGAGAGGAUGACCGGCCACACUGGAACUGGGACACGGUCCAGACCCCUACGGGGGGCGGCGGUGGGGAUUAUUGCACAUUGGGCGCAUGCCUAAUCCGGCCAUGCCGCGUGUAUGAAGAGGGCCUUCGGUUUGUAAAGUACUUUCAGCGGGGAGGCGUUACCCGCAGAGAAAGCACCGGCUAACUCCGUGCCAGCGCCCGCGGUAUUA